UUAAGCGACUAAGCGUACACGGUGGAUGCCCUGGCAGUCAGAGGCGAUGAAGGACGUGCUAAUCUGCGAUAAGCGUCGGUAAGGUGAUAUGAACCGUUAUAACCGGCGAUUUCCGAAUGGGGAAACCCAGUGUGUUUCGACACACUAUCAUUAACUGAAUCCAUAGGUUAAUGAGGCGAACCGGGGGAACUGAAACAUCUAAGUACCCCGAGGAAAAGAAAUCAACCGAGAUUCCCCCAGUAGCGGCGAGCGAACGGGGAGCAGCCCAGAGCCUGAAUCAGUGUGUGUGUUAGUGGAAGCGUCUGGAAAGGCGCGCGAUACAGGGUGACAGCCCCGUACACAAAAAUGCACAUGCUGUGAGCUCGAUGAGUAGGGCGGGACACGUGGUAUCCUGUCUGAAUAUGGGGGGACCAUCCUCCAAGGCUAAAUACUCCUGACUGACCGAUAGUGAACCAGUACCGUGAGGGAAAGGCGAAAAGAACCCCGGCGAGGGGAGUGAAAAAGAACCUGAAACCGUGUACGUACAAGCAGUGGGAGCCUCUUUAUGGGGUGACUGCGUACCUUUUGUAUAAUGGGUCAGCGACUUAUAUUCUGUAGCAAGGUUAACCGAAUAGGGGAGCCGAAGGGAAACCGAGUCUUAACUGGGCGUUAAGUUGCAGGGUAUAGACCCGAAACCCGGUGAUCUAGCCAUGGGCAGGUUGAAGGUUGGGUAACACUAACUGGAGGACCGAACCGACUAAUGUUGAAAAAUUAGCGGAUGACUUGUGGCUGGGGGUGAAAGGCCAAUCAAACCGGGAGAUAGCUGGUUCUCCCCGAAAGCUAUUUAGGUAGCGCCUCGUGAAUUCAUCUCCGGGGGUAGAGCACUGUUUCGGCAAGGGGGUCAUCCCGACUUACCAACCCGAUGCAAACUGCGAAUACCGGAGAAUGUUAUCACGGGAGACACACGGCGGGUGCUAACGUCCGUCGUGAGGAGGGAAACAACCCAGACCGCCAGCUAAGGUCCCAAAGUCAUGGUUAAGUGGGAAACGAUGUGGGAAGGCCCAGACAGUCAGGAUGUUGGCUUAGAAGCAGCCAUCAUUUAAAGAAAGCGUAAUAGCUCACUGGUCGAGUCGGCCUGCGCGGAAGAUGUAACGGGGCUAAACCAUGCACCGAAGCUGCGGCAGCGACGCUUAUGCGUUGUUGGGUAGGGGAGCGUUCUGUAAGCCUGUGAAGGUGUGCUGUGAGGCAUGCUGGAGGUAUCAGAAGUGCGAAUGCUGACAUAAGUAACGAUAAAGCGGGUGAAAAGCCCGCUCGCCGGAAGACCAAGGGUUCCUGUCCAACGUUAAUCGGGGCAGGGUGAGUCGACCCCUAAGGCGAGGCCGAAAGGCGUAGUCGAUGGGAAACAGGUUAAUAUUCCUGUACUUGGUGUUACUGCGAAGGGGGGACGGAGAAGGCUAUGUUGGCCGGGCGACGGUUGUCCCGGUUUAAGCGUGUAGGCUGAUUUUCCAGGCAAAUCCGGAAAAUCAAGGCUGAGGCGUGAUGACGAGGCACUACGGUGCUGAAGCAACAAAUGCCCUGCUUCCAGGAAAAGCCUCUAAGCAUCAGGUAACAUCAAAUCGUACCCCAAACCGACACAGGUGGUCAGGUAGAGAAUACCAAGGCGCUUGAGAGAACUCGGGUGAAGGAACUAGGCAAAAUGGUGCCGUAACUUCGGGAGAAGGCACGCUGAUAUGUAGGUGAAGUCCCUCGCGGAUGGAGCUGAAAUCAGUCGAAGAUACCAGCUGGCUGCAACUGUUUAUUAAAAACACAGCACUGUGCAAACACGAAAGUGGACGUAUACGGUGUGACGCCUGCCCGGUGCCGGAAGGUUAAUUGAUGGGGUCAGCGCAAGCGAAGCUCUUGAUCGAAGCCCCGGUAAACGGCGGCCGUAACUAUAACGGUCCUAAGGUAGCGAAAUUCCUUGUCGGGUAAGUUCCGACCUGCACGAAUGGCGUAAUGAUGGCCAGGCUGUCUCCACCCGAGACUCAGUGAAAUUGAACUCGCUGUGAAGAUGCAGUGUACCCGCGGCAAGACGGAAAGACCCCGUGAACCUUUACUAUAGCUUGACACUGAACAUUGAGCCUUGAUGUGUAGGAUAGGUGGGAGGCUUAGAAGUGUGGACGCCAGUCUGCAUGGAGCCGGCCUUGAAAUACCACCCUUUAAUGUUUGAUGUUCUAACGUGGACCCGUAAUCCGGGUUGCGGACAGUGUCUGGUGGGUAGUUUGACUGGGGCGGUCUCCUCCUAAAGAGUAACGGAGGAGCACGAAGGUUGGCUAAUCCUGGUCGGACAUCAGGAGGUUAGUGCAAUGGCAUAAGCCAGCUUGACUGCGAGCGUGACGGCGCGAGCAGGUGCGAAAGCAGGUCAUAGUGAUCCGGUGGUUCUGAAUGGAAGGGCCAUCGCUCAACGGAUAAAAGGUACUCCGGGGAUAACAGGCUGAUACCGCCCAAGAGUUCAUAUCGACGGCGGUGUUUGGCACCUCGAUGUCGGCUCAUCACAUCCUGGGGCUGAAGUAGGUCCCAAGGGUAUGGCUGUUCGCCAUUUAAAGUGGUACGCGAGCUGGGUUUAGAACGUCGUGAGACAGUUCGGUCCCUAUCUGCCGUGGGCGCUGGAGAACUGAGGGGGGCUGCUCCUAGUACGAGAGGACCGGAGUGGACGCAUCACUGGUGUUCGGGUUGUCAUGCCAAUGGCACUGCCCGGUAGCUAAAUGCGGAAGAGAUAAGUGCUGAAAGCAUCUAAGCACGAAACUUGCCCCGAGAUGAGUUCUCCCUGACUCCUUGAGAGUCCUGAAGGAACGUUGAAGACGACGACGUUGAUAGGCCGGGUGUGUAAGCGCAGCGAUGCGUUGAGCUAACCGGUACUAAUGAACCGUGAGGCUUAACCUU
rnacentral:rRNA from 1 species